rnacentral:lncRNA from 1 species
UUUCUUCAUCAACUCUCCUUGUUGGUUCGAAUUCUGUUGGUUAUUUGAAGUCAGGCUGCCAGGUUUAUGUGAUAAGUUCAUAAAGGUACAAUGGUUAAGAAGAAAGAAGGACGACUUGGUGGAAAUAUUCCAGUCGGUCUAGUCAAACUCCAACCCGUCCCUCCCAAGGCUGUUCCUUUGUCAAUUGUCGUGUCUCGACAGCAAAGUAAGGUAGUUAAGCCUUCUUCAUCUACUGCUAAUGAUUCUAAAAUGGAU